AUUCUCCCUUCAGUAGCAUAUAUACUGAAAUUUAAAUAAUACAGAAAAGAUUCGUAUGGCUCUUGCUGUACAAGGGCGACACUUGAAUUUGUAAAGUAUUUCAUAUUUUA